UGAAAACAAAACAAACACAGGCGAUGAUGAUGAAAGGUUACAAUCCAAACAAAUUUGCUACAGUAAAUCAACUAUUGAAUUCCCCUGAUGAGCUAUUUCAUGGGCCAGAUCCAGGAUUUGAAUUUGGGCUGCAGAAAAUGUAUCUUCAUUGAUCAAAAUCACAUAGAUGAAGAAUAAAGACCCACUUGCUUAUGUGUAUUUCAGAAUUUAUAUCAGGAGUGGAGACCCGUGAAAAUAUUU
rnacentral:lncRNA from 1 species